GCGGAGGAAAAGAACCAACUCGGAUUCCCUAGUAACGGCGAGUGAAGCGGGAAGAGCUCAUGUUGUAAAUCUGGAUGAGGGUUCCUCGUCCCGAAUUGUAGUCUAGAGAUGCGUGCUCAGCUACUCUCCAGGGCUAAGUCUGUUUGUGAAAGACAGUGUCAUGGACGGUGAUAACCCGGUUCUUGCCUUGGAUGUUGUAGCGUUUUGAGCCGUCCUCAACGAGUCGAGUUGCUUGGGAUUGCAGCUCUAAGUGGGUGGUAAAUUCCAUCUAAAGCUAAAUAUUGGUGGGAGACCGAUAGCGAACAAGUACCGUGAGGGAAAGAUGAAAAGAACUUUGAAAAGAGAGUUAAAUAGUACCUGAAACUGCUGAAAGGGAAGCGAAUGAAGUCAGUGUUGCUCUUUGUGCUCUGCAUCCUCCCUGCGGGGAUUGUGUAUCGAGGACUUUGAGCUUGUCAGGAUGAGUUCUCUGCCGCGGGAUAUGUUUUGUAUGCUGGAUGCUUUUUGCGGAACAUACAUUCUCUGUCGUGGCUUGGACUGAGGUUCCAUCUUGCCGUUGCCUGUGCGUUCCUCUCCCGUUGCUGUCUCUGUUCUACUGCUUGCAGUGCUCAGUUGCAGUAGUUGGACUGUGCGUAUUAUGCAUGCAAGGUCAGGAUCCUGACGAAUGGCUUUAUUCACCCGCAA
rnacentral:rRNA from 1 species